rnacentral:rRNA from 1 species
UGAGUGAUACUCUUAGUCGGACUAGGCGUUUGCUUGAAAAGUAUUGGCAUGGGUAGUACUGGAUAGUGCUGUCGACCUCUCAAUGUAUUAGGUUUAUCCAACUCGUUGAAUGGUGUGGCGGGAUAUUUCUGGUAUUGUUGGCCCGGCCUUACAACAACCAAACAAGUUUGACCUCAAAUCAGGUAGGAAUACCCGCUGAACUUAAGCAUAUCAAUAAGCGGAGGAAAAGAAACCAACAGGGAUUGCCUUAGUAGCGGCGAGUGAAGCGGCAAAAGCUCAAAUUUGAAAUCUGGCGCCUUCGGUGUCCGAGUUGUAAUUUGAAGAUUGUAACCUUGGGGUUGGCUCUUGUCUAUGUUUCUUGGAACAGGACGUCACAGAGGGUGAGAAUCCCGUGCGAUGAGAUGCCCAAUUCUAUGUAAGGUGCUUUCGAAGAGUCGAGUUGUUUGGGAAUGCAGCUCUAAGUGGGUGGUAAAUUCCAUCUAAAGCUAAAUAUUGGCGAGAGACCGAUAGCGAACAAGUACAGUGAUGGAAAGAUGAAAAGAACUUUGAAAAGAGAGUGAAAAAGUACGUGAAAUUGUUGAAAGGGAAGGGUUUGAGAUCAGACUCGAUAUUUUGUGAGCCUUGCCUUCGUGGCGGGGUGACCCGCAGCUUAUCGGGCCAGCAUCGGUUUGGGCGGUAGGAUAAUGGCGUAGGAAUGUGACUUUACUUCGGUGAAGUGUUAUAGCCUGCGUUGAUGCUGCCUGCCUAGACCGAGGACUGCGA